CUGUGAUAAAGACCACAGCAGGGUCCACAGAGCAUGUGGUCAUUUCAGAGAACAACGGAUGGAAAGAUGGACACACCAGUAAGAUUAAAAAUAAGGUUUAUAUCAGCUCAGAAGACUUUAAUACAUUGCAUGAGGUUUGUUCAAAAAGGCAUUAGUGUGGAUCAACAUUUAAUCAACAUUUAAUUAGUUCUAAAAAAAAAAUAAAUAAAAAAAAACACAAAUAGGUGUGAAUUUAAAAAACAUCCAUAGUUUGUUAAAUACUAUGCAUUUUAGUAUAGUAGUUAUUUCACCAGUGCCUGAUUUGAGGUGAAAUAGACAUAAUACACACUGUUAUUUUUUCUUUUUCAAUUUCGGUAAAAAGUUCUCAUCAAAGAACUGUAUACCUGGAGAAAGCAUCUGCUACUGAGAUGAAUGUGAACAGAUACUGUAGCUCUCUGCACAUUAAGCCUCUUUGGUUAAGGCCAUUUCUGACACUUAGUGGCAGAAUUGCCCUAUCAAUAGACUAUGGUACCGCCACAGUGAUCCACUUUUUUUGAAAGGUAAUUUUGAGAAACUGCCACGUGAAUAAAUAUUUUAGAGAUGCCUGUUGCUUAUAAUUAACUCCUUAGAAGGGUGCAUUAUUUUGUUUGAUGGUGUCUUUUGCCUUAAGACUGAUAGAAACGCCUCUAUAAUAGUUCUUUAGAAGAUAUGAUGUUACCUUUUUUUUAUUUUUAUUUUUUAUCUUUGUUCUUGUUUGCAUAAGCUAUUACUUUUUUCAUGUCUAUUUCUCUUUAUCACAAUGCCUGUUUAUGCAUCCCAUAACAAACUUUUAUUUGCUUGCCAGAUACAUGUUUUAUAUUGAUGUAGCUGUUUGGAAGGAUUAACGUUUAGUUCUAACCCUCCUCCAACACAAUACCUGCAGUUUCAAAUUAGCCUGAAGUAAGCUGGACCAGAGAAGAUCCAGGUUGAUGAGAAUGAACCUCAUUGGUGGACAUUAAUUCAGGAGGGAUUUGUGCCUUUGACAUGCCCUUACAGAGGUUGAUGAUCUGAAAGAGAGUGAGAUUAAAAUCAUCACAAAACUGUGAUGUAAAUAGCUACAAACCACAAAAAAGAGAGCGAGAAAAUGAUCCCGAGACAAUUUAUAUGUUUUGGUGUCUUAAUGAUUCUCACUGAAGGAUCAUCAGUGAAAGUUCAUCCAGGAGGAAACACAACACUCCCCUGUAACAUUAAAGAUGAUACAGAGAUUACAUGGAUCAUUAUAAAUGGAAACCAAACAUUUGUCAGAAUUCUGAAGCUUGAAUAUGGUUUUGGGCCAGAAUCUAAACCAGUGCCCUCCAUUAUUCACCCAAGUUACACAGGACGGAUAAAAGCUCUCAGUUCUUCCACAAACACUCACUCUCUGCUUCUGAUGAACAUCACUGACACUGAUCUGAUGCUCUACUGCUGCACUGAAUGCAGACUUGAGCAAACUCACUGCACUAAACUGGACUUUGAAGAUGUGAUCACUGAAGAUGUGGAUCAGCAGGACACAGAUGAUAUCAGUCAUGAUCCAGUGAUCAUCAGUAUCAGUCUGUGUCUGCCUGUCGUCUGUGUGCUUCUGCUGCUGUUACUGCUGUCAAGUGUCUGUGUGUGUUGGAGAGCAACACGACUGCAGAAAGGUUCAAGAACUAAUGAUAUGGACCAGGACUGGAUUCACAAUAGUGUUCAGGGUGAAAUAAAGUUUGGUCAUUUUAUGAUGAGACAUGAGGAUUGGACACUGGCUGAAUUUAUUUAUACACCACUGAAUAAUAUUUCUUAAAUCAUAAUUUCAAAAUUCCAUUAUACACCUAACAUUAUGUUUUGCGCUCAUACACAUUUGCAAGUUACUAAAUUCACAAUGAAUAUGUUAAAACUAUUUUUUGUUGUUGUUGUGAUUAAAUGGCAUCAUAA